GAAGAAAUGGCAGGAUCUGUGCGUGGGGGAUGUGGUCUGUCUCCGCAAGGACAACAUCGUCCCAGUGAGCUGGGGUUGACCCCGAGGUCCCAGAACCACGCGCCCCCUCACCGAGAGCACCCCUCCCAGGGUGGGGAGGGCUGCCGCGCCCCCAAUUUGUCUUGCAUCCCCUCUUGCAACGCUGCCCCCCACUCCACCCCAGGCCGACAUGCUCUUGCUGGCCAGCACGGAGCCCAGCAGCCUGUGCUAUGUGGAGACGGUGGACAUUGACGGGGAGACCAACUUGAAGUUCAGACAGGCCCUGAUGGUCACCCACAAAGAACUGGCCACUAUAAAGAAGAUGGCGUCCUUUCAAGGCACAGUGACGUGUGAGGCGCCUAACAGUCGGAUGCACCACUUCGUGGGGUGCCUGGAAUGGAAUGACAAGAAAUACUCCCUGGACAUUGGCAACCUCCUCCUCCGAGGCUGCAGGAUUCGCAACACAGACACCUGCUAUGGGCUGGUCAUUUAUGCUGGUUUUGACACAAAAAUUAUGAAGAACUGUGGCAAGAUCCAUUUGAAGAGAACCAAGCUGGACCUCCUGAUGAACAAGCUGGUGGUUGUGAUCUUCAUCUCCGUGGUGCUUGUCUGCCUGGUGUUGGCCUUCGGCUUCGGUUUCUCGGUCAAAGAAUUCAAAGACCACCACUACUACCUCUCGGGGGUGCAUGGGAGCAGCGUGGCCGCAGAGUCCUUCUUCGUCUUUUGGAGCUUCCUCAUCCUGCUCAGCGUCACCAUCCCGAUGUCCAUGUUCAUCCUGUCCGAGUUCAUCUACCUGGGGAACAGCGUCUUCAUCGACUGGGACUUGCAGAUGUACUACAAGCCGCAGGACGUGCCUGCCAAGGCCCGGAGCACCAGCCUCAACGACCACCUGGGCCAGGUGGAAUACAUCUUCUCGGACAAGACGGGCACGCUCACGCAGAACAUCUUGACCUUCAACAAGUGCUGCAUCAACGGCCGCGUCUACGGUGUGGCCCCGACACCUGAGCUCCCAGCUGGGUCCUCGAUCUUCAAGGGGCUCAGGGUGCCUGAGGACCAGAGCCACGUCUGGCCUCAUGCCCAGCACCCCUGCCCGAAUCUGAACCAGGGAACCAUAGCCAGAUGGCCUGGUUUCCUUUGGAGGGGGCCAGGAAACUUUUUUUUUUUUUUUGAGGCAGAGUCUCACUCUGUCUACCCAGGCAGGAAUGCAGUGGUGCAAUCUUGGCUCACUGCAAUCUCCACCUCCCAGGUUCAAGCGAUUCUCCUGGCUCAGCCUCCCGAGUAGCUGGGAUUAUAGGCACCUGCCACCACACCUAAUUUUUUUGUAUUUUUAGCAGAGAUGGGGUUUCACCAUGUUGGCCAUGCUGGUCUCGAACUCCUGGCCUCCGGCGAUCCACCUGCCUCGGCCUCCCAAAGUGCUGGGAUUACAGGCGUGAGCCACCACGCCCGGCCGACUUUUUUUUUUUUUUUCUCUCUGAGACGGAGUUUUGCUCUCGUUGCCCAGGCUGGAGUGCAGUGGUGCGAUCUCGGCUCACUGAAACCUCUGCCUCCUGGGUUGAUUCUCCUGCCUCAGCCUCCCAAGUAGCUGGGAUUACAGUUGCGUGCCACCCCGCCUGGCUAAUUUUUGUAUUUUUUUUUUUCAGUAGAGACGGGGUUUCACCCUGUUUCCCAGGCUGGUCUCGAACUCCUGACUUCAGGUGAUCCACCUGCGUCAGCCUCCAAAAUAUUGGCAUUGCAGGCAUGAGCCACCACACCUAGCCAAACUUUUAAACAGUGUGUAUUUAUUUAUUUUUUGAGAUGGGGUCUUGCUCUGCUGCCCAGGCUGGAAUGCAGUGGUGCAAUCAUAGCUUAUUGCAGCCUCGAAUUCCUGGGUUCAAGCAAUCCUCCCACUUCAGCUUCCCAAGUAGCCGGGACUACAGGAGAGUGCCACCUUACCCAGCUUAUUUUUGUAUUUUUUGUCAAGACAGGGUAUCCCUAUGUUGCCCAGGCUGGUCUUGAACUCCUGGGCUUAAGCGAUCCGCCUGCCUCCGCUUCUCAAAGCACUGGAAUUACAGAUGUGAGCCACCACACCCGGCCGCUGCUCUUCUUUUGACUUUCACAAGCCUUUAUUUGUGGAUGCUGAAAUUCGAAUUGCUGAGUAUUUCUCAGAUCACAAAAUAAAAUAGUUUUGUUU
rnacentral:sRNA from 1 species